GGGACUAUUUUUUUUUUAGGGGGGAAAAUGCAUUCCGCAUACCACCCGGGUGCGGGGGGUGACCCGAGUGGUUAUGUGGGACUCCCGUCUAGGCUAAUGAGGCCCACGGUAUACCCACUAAAAACCCCCCAUAUACCGCCUCGCCGCCCUAUUGGUGGGGUUACAGGAACGCUUGCGUACUCAUCCGCGACCCCACCGGCCCUUCACGCUAGGCGCGCCAGAUGGUUCGACGCGCCUUCCUCCUCCGCCUCCGUUCUGCACUGUAGCGGACCCCCCCGAGGCCGCCACAAGGAAGCCACGGGCGCCAGAAAGUUCUCCGGCGCCCGGCGACAGAUCAGGUCUAUGGUUCUGUCGCAAAACCACAAUUCGGCUGCAGAGGACAGGGAGAACGGCACAUCGUAACACCGACACUCCUCUUCCUCUGCAGCCCCACCAACGCCGCUACAGCGGAACGGCACCGCCAAGUUCGCAGGGGAUAGGGCGAGUGGCGAUCGUAAUACCAUCACGCGUCUUCCCCUGCGAUCCCACCUCGGCCGCCGAGGAUAGGAAGAACGGCUCACCGCAAUACCGACACUCCUCUUCCUCGACGGUCCACCUCCAACGCGUCACAAGCGGGCUUAACAAGCCCACUUGGAGCGUCCUCCUCGGGCCAGCCCGACCCUCAAACAGGCCGGCCCUGGUUGCCUCUUCGCUUCACCGUGGGUGACCAAGCCACGGUUACUAAGCCCCUCCACCACGACAAGGUGAGCAACCCGCGGGGGGAGACUA